AUGAGUCUACUCAGUUGGAACUGUCGAGGAGGGGGGAAUUCCCGGACAGUUCGUGAACUUGCGAUGAUUUGCCAGUCGCAUUCCCCCAAUUUGGUAUUUCUGUGUGAAACUAGGGAAAAGGCGCAAGAUGAGGAGGAUCGUGGCCGUCUCGGCCUCAAAGGGUUUUGUGGCGUGGGCAGUGAUGGCAUGAGUGGUGGGUUAGCUUUGUAUUGGCAUGAGUCUUAUGUGGUGGAGAUUCUGGACACAAACUAA
rnacentral:rRNA from 1 species